GACUGAGAAAGCCCUCACCGAAAGUUUCUCCGUUUCUUCUAUCCUGCCAAAAUGAAAGGCUUGAUUUGCUCUACUUGUCCAGAGCAUGUGGUAGGAAAGAGAUGAAGUUGGACAAAACGAUGUCGUUUGGUUGUAGAUAAGUGAAGAAUCAGCUCCUCUGUGCUCUGGAAUGGUUGGAAACAAUGAGAAUCAGGUCAGGGACAAGGGAUUCCCACUGAAUCUUGGAGGUGGAGAAAAGUGAUUCACAUGCCCAUCAGCCGCCUGAAUUGGGCUUGUCUGACACAACGAUUGCAUGAAGAACACGAAAUCACCAUUUGAACCAAAUGAAUGUCAGAAGAAAAAAAACCAUGUAUUGCAGUUAUCAAAGAUGAUACUCAGAAUUACAUUUGGGUUUCACUUUCCUGUUUAAUGGUGUUGUUUGUUUCUUGGGAAUACAGCCAUUAAAUAGGAAAAAGGAAGAUAGUAUAAAAUAGUUCUUAUCUAAUAGAUAAAGAAUGAAGGCCAAGCAACGAAUAAAGUUCCUACCUUUUCAGUUAUUGACCUAAACACCAUGUAUUUGAUAAUUAUGCAAAAGUAAAGACAUUGCAGAAGUAUAAUAUAUAUGUUGUUUCUUCUUUUCUCCCCA